GGAGCGGUAUCGAAGUGGUCAUAACGGGGCUGACUCGAAAUCAGUUGGACCGUAAGGUCUCGUGGGUUCGAAUCCCACCCGCUCCG
rnacentral:tRNA from 1 species